rnacentral:rRNA from 1 species
CUAACACAUGCAAGUCGAACGGUAGCACAGAGAGCUUGCUCUCGGGUGACGAGUGGCGGACGGGUGAGUAAUGUCUGGGAAACUGCCUGAUGGAGGGGGAUAACUACUGGAAACGGUAGCUAAUACCGCAUAACGUCGCAAGACCAAAGAGGGGGACCUUCGGGCCUCUUGCCAUCAGAUGUGCCCAGAUGGGAUUAGCUAGUAGGUGGGGUAACGGCUCACCUAGGCGACGAUCCCUAGCUGGUCUGAGAGGAUGACCAGCCACACUGGAACUGAGACACGGUCCAGACUCCUACGGGAGGCAGCAGUGGGGAAUAUUGCACAAUGGGCGCAAGCCUGAUGCAGCCAUGCCGCGUGUAUGAAGAAGGCCUUCGGGUUGUAAAGUACUUUCAGCGGGGAGGAAGGCGAUAAGGUUAAUAACCUUGUCGAUUGACGUUACCCGCAGAAGAAGCACCGGCUAACUCCGUGCCAGCAGCCGCGGUAAUACGGAGGGUGCAAGCGUUAAUCGGAAUUACUGGGCGUAAAGCGCACGCAGGCGGUCUGUCAAGUCGGAUGUGAAAUCCCCGGGCUCAACCUGGGAACUGCAUUCGAAACUGGCAGGCUGGAGUCUUGUAGAGGGGGGUAGAAUUCCAGGUGUAGCGGUGAAAUGCGUAGAGAUCUGGAGGAAUACCGGUGGCGAAGGCGGCCCCCUGGACAAAGACUGACGCUCAGGUGCGAAAGCGUGGGGAGCAAACAGGAUUAGAUACCCU